rnacentral:rRNA from 1 species
CCUACGGGAGGCAGCAGUGGGGAAUAUUGGGCAAUGGACGCAAGCCUGACCCAGCAACGCCGCGUGAAGGAAGAAGGCUUUCGGGUUGUAAACUUCUUUUAAGGGGGAAGAGAAGAAGACGGUACCCCUUGAAUAAGCCACGGCUAACUACGUGCCAGCAGCCGCGGUAAUACGUAGGUGGCAAGCGUUGUCCGGAUUUACUGGGCGUAGAGGGCGUGCAGCCGGGAAGACAAGUCAGAUGUGAAAUACCGCGGCUCAACCGCGGAAUUGCAUUUGACACUGGUUUUCUUGAGUAUCGGAGAGGUAAUCGGAAUUCCUAGUGUAGCGGUGAAAUGCGUAGAUAUGAGGAAGAACACCAGUGGCGAAGGCGGAUUACUGGACGACAACUGACGGUGAGGCGCGAAAGCGUGGGGAGCAAACAGGAUUAGAUACCCUAGUAGUC